UACGUAGGGGGCAAGCGUUGUCCGGAAUCAUUGGGCGUAAAGAGCGCGUAGGCGGCCCUGUAAGUCCGCUGUGAAAGUCAAGGGCUCAACCCUUGGAUGCCGGUGGAUACUGCAGGGCUAGAGUCCGGAAGAGGCGAGUGGAAUUCCUGGUGUAGCGGUGAAAUGCGUAGAUAUCGGGAGGAACAUCAGUGGCGAAGGCGACCACCUGGCCCAACACUGACGCUGAGGUGCGAAAGCGUGGGUAGCAAACAGG
rnacentral:rRNA from 1 species